rnacentral:lncRNA from 1 species
GGUUGGCAUUUCUCCAUCCUGCCUGUACAACUUUAUGGUAUUGUUUGGAUGAGGAGAGCAAACAAUGGUUUUGUUUUACAGUCACCACCUCUGAUCUUGAGCAGGAGCUGAGUGUGAAGACUUGUUCUGAGGGUGUGCAAAACCUCUAAACUUUUAUGGGGUAUCUCAUUCCUAGAAGGAGGCCUAUCUGCCUACCCCAGAAUGGCUCACAGCACCCUGGAGAGGGACACCCCAGACAGAGGGGAAGUUACCUUGCAAGUGGUGGUAAAAAACUCAGGUUACAGUCCUAGGGAAAGCAAUCAAAGUUUAAUUUUUUAAAAACUAAAUAUAUGAACUAUUUCUUUUGUUGCAUAAAUCAUCAUUGUAACAAUAAUAAUACCAGGCAAAAUUUUAAAAUCCUAACUCUGUAUGGAGUAUUGUUCAAAUUGUAUUGAUCCAGGGACAGAAAACUACAGCCCAAGGGCUGGUCACUCCUUUUUGUAAAUAAAAAGUUUCCUUGGAACACAACCACAUUAAUUUGCUCAUGUACUGUCCGUGGUUGCUUUUCCCCUGCCAUGGCAGAGUUGAAUAAUUGCACUGGAGACCCUAUAGUCCACAAAGCCUAAAAUAUAUACUCUCUGGCCCUUUAUUGCAAAAGGUUGCUGACCACUGAUAUAGAUUCUCUCCAUUAAUUCUUAUGAGAACUCAGUGAUAUAGGUACCAUUCUUGUUGUCCCCCAAAUGAGGAAACUGAAACUCAGGAGGUUAGAAAAUAAUCCUAUUGUCAUAAAAUAGGUGAUCUCAAAACCUCACAAGGUUUUAUAGUGACUUUACAUGAAUCAUUUCACCUCCUGGUCCUCAGCACCAUCCUGGACAAAGGAAGGAUUUGGCUUAGGUGUUUCCCAUCUACAACUUUGUGUGUGUCCAAACCUCUUGUAUCAUUUCACACAACAAAGAUAAAACCAAAGUUUGCUUCAAAAGCAUGAUAUUCAUUUAUGUCAAAGGAGAUUUUCCAAAUGGCUUUCAGGAAAGGGAUGUCACAGAAAUAUCCAGAGUAAUAAAAUGAAAUUAUCACUGUUAUACCAUGAAAUGAUGCCAGAGGCCUGCUCUCUAUCAUUAAAUCACACACGGCCUUGUUCUCAAAGGCACCACGAACACGAAAUUACUAGUUCUAGGACAACAAGUCCCAUCAAUACCUCUAAAACACAAAAUUAGCCUUGAGUAUCAUGAGGUAUGUUGCAAGACAGUCUUCCAAUGGCCUCUUCAACAGUGUGAUAGUCUUUGGAUAUGAGCAGGUUUAGUCACCUAAGCACUCCUGUCACUUCAAUUCCUAGGUAUUCAGGAGCUACCACAUGUGCUUCCCUUGUUUCAUUCGCUCUGAGAGCCACUGCCAUGCUCUUCUUGCCCUAUUUCACAUCACAUAUGCUGCACCCUGCAGGCUGUGUUUCCUAGGCCCAGCAUAAUCUCUGAUAAUUUAGUGUCCCCCAGUGGGAAAGGACAGAAGAAAAAUACCUCCCAUACUCCCUCUCUGUAGUUGGGAACACAGUCAUUCCUCAAUAUCUCUGAGGGAUUGGUUCCAGAACUCCCAGUGGAUGCCAAAAUCCACAGAUGCUGAAGUCCCUUGUAAAAAAUGACUUUAUAUUUGCAUUUAACUUACACACAUAUUCUGGUAUAUUUAAAGUAAUCUCUUGAUAACUUGCAAUAUCUAAUACAACAUAAACACUAUAUAAAUUGUUGCCAGUGUGCAUCAAGUAAUUCUAGUGUUGCUUUUUGGAACUUUCUGGAAUUGUUUUUGAGUAUUUUUGACCUACUAUUGGUUGAGUUCACAGAUGUGAAGCCCAUCAAUGUGGAGGGCUAUCUAUAGUCAAAAAAGGUUUCAGGUCAUGAGUCAGGUCAAAGGUGAAUGCUUUAGAUGGACAAUUGGCAGAAGAAAUGACAUUCCAGUUUGGGGACAUCACAUACAAAAGUGCAACUCUGUUCAAGUCCAAGCUAAUAAUUACUCAUUUGUAUGUGAAUAGGGAGUAUGCUGAAGUUGGAUUUAGUGAUUAGAUAUUUAAUGAUUCAAUAAUGGUCAAAAGAGAAAGAAGCAGUGCUCUAUGACUUUAUAAAAACCAUCCUGUGGGGAAGGGAGCCCCGGCUUUGGAGUCAGAAAGGCCUGGGCUUGGAUUCUGCCUCUGCUUUUACUGUUGGUAUGACUGUGCAUUCCUCUCUUAAGCUGUGUUUCAGUUUCUGCAAAUGCCGUUGGAGGUGAGAAGUCUUUACAGGAUUGAUAUGAACAUGAAAUUAAGUAGUAUAUAUAAAAUACCUAACAAGGUAUCUAGCAGACCAUGGGCCCUCAUAACGAUGUUGGGGAUUGGCACUGUUAGAGUCAAUUUUGAGUUUCAGUCAGUAAGUCACUCAGCCAAUCCUCAAGGAGUACUAACAGUUGACCUAAGACUUCUGGAAUGUCAUGAGGAUUAAAGGAGAGAAUGUAUGUAAAAGCACUCAAUUAGACUUCUCAACACAGAGAAGAUGCUCCAAUUGGUAUUUAUCAGUGAUAUUAUCACACAUGUCAUCUCCAGAAUUUCAUGGUCAAUAUACAGGAUCUCUGCUCACAAGGAAUAUAUAUCAUUUAAUAUAAUAACCUAAGAUAUGAGCAAGAAAAAAUAAUAGUAUAACUCAUGUGUGUGUGUGAGAGAGAGAGAGAGGAUGAAUGAGAGAGGCUCUCGGUAAGAUCCUGUGCUGAGGCAGUAUCCUUAGAGUGAACACAAUUAGGGUAUCUACAGAGACCUGAGGAGAAGGUCCAGAUGAGGGUUGGGAAAAAAAUUCUUAAGGCCCAGUACUGAUGUCAAGUCUAUAGUAGGAGUAAGAACUUAGGUCAGAGAUGACUCACUGUGUGGAAGGCAGGCUGGUUGAGAGGCAGUUUGCUGUAUCUCUGGGUCUGAGUUUGUAUGUAAAAGUGGAUGUGCAAGGGAUUGAGGUGAGAGCAAUGGACACAAAGUGUUGGGGGAGCUCUGGAGACAUUCAAGAAUGCAAAAACAACCUUUAUUUGGGAGUGCUACCCACAAGUUGACAUUCACACAGAUACUUCCAAAGAAAAAUGGCCUUUCAUUAGGUCUGUGGCUCAGAACAUUUUGUGAUCAAAGCUUCUUCUUGGGAAGCAAAGACAAGGUGCAAAAAGUGAAUUACAAACGUGUAGUCAAAUCCUUCAAUAGGAAGACCCACUCCAACAUCUUUAAGGCAAACUAUCAGAAGGAGACAUAACGCCUGUCAUUUUGCAUUAAUUCCCCUCUCAGGAUCAAAUGCGCUGCAGCUUCGUCAUUGCUAAUCCCACCAAGAGAGUAAACUAACAGUGAUUGUACCUUGCCCCUUUGUCAUUUAACCAUUCCUUGAAGCUACAACUACUUUUAUUUUUUUCUUUUUAUUAGGCCAAUUACUAUGACUCCAUUGCUGCAGCUAAGGACAAGAUGACACCAUUGCAACAAAAGCAUUUAUUUUUAGGGAUUAAUAAUAACUAAACCUAUCUUUGCCCUCAAACAGAAUUAGCAGUACAUGGAACAUCAAAAUCAGAACACUUUAAAUUCUGUUAUAUAGAGGACUUAUUUAGAUCAUGUUUCCACAAUGCUGUGGUAUAAGUAGAGCACAAGGCAGAAAGCCUUCAUGAAACUGUUUGUGUUUUGUUUUAGUUAUUAUAGUCAUUUUAUCAUUUAUAACUGGAUCAAAUUAUUAGUUUUUCCAGUCUGGUACAAAGGAAAAACCCUUGUCAAGAAGUCACAUAUAUAGGCUCUAGUUCUAUAGUUCUAAAUUUUAUGAAGUAUAGGAAAUAGACUAUUAACAUGGGACCUUUUUUUUCCUUUAGGUUUUCACCUGUUAGAAUGUAGGAUUUGAAUAUAUAGUUGAUAUCAAUGUUUCAAGUCCCCAGUAUUCUAAGAAUCUCACCAUUAGAUAGGUAUGAGAAUGCAAUUCUGCCGACUGAAACAUUUAAAAUAUGUGUAUGUAAAAACACUUUAAAGUUAUAUGUAUAUAUGUAUAUAUAUGACUCACUAGGCUGUACGGCAGAAAUUGACAACACUGUAAAUCAAUUAUAUGCUAACAAAAAAUUAUUUUACUAUUCUAUUCCUUUUUUUUUUUUUAACAUUUUACUGCCACACUCGUGGCAUAUGCAAGUUCCUGGUGUAGCGGGUGAAUCGGAGCUGUAGCUGCAGCUGCAAGUCUACGCUACAACAAUUCUGGAUCUGAGUCACAUCUGUGACCUAUACUGCAGCUUGUCAGAGAUGGAACCCACACACUCCAUGGCCACUGUAUCAGGUUCUUAACCCACUGAGUCGCAAUGGGGACUAUGAUAUUUUAUUCUUUAAUCACAUAUUUAUUCCUUUGUUUAUUCAAUAUAUGCGUCACUUAAAAUGCUUUAUAUAUGCUAAUUAUGUCUACAACAUUUUGCUUAAUAUCGUGAAAUAUCAUGGGAUAGGAGUUUUUAUUAGAAAAAAAUCUUAGAGUCAAAGACUUGUAUUUGUGAAUUCUAUUAUUGUUAAUACAAUAAAGAUAUGAUGUGAACUAUAUCAACCAAUUUUUAUAAAAGGGAAAGCCACAUAACAAUAAUGUUCCUCAUAAGGUAGAACAAAGAGAUGGGAUUCUUAACUUUGUUUUUGCAGCCAAAUAUCUCUUGCCCUGUCCCCAGAAAAUGCCCUAUUAAACAUUUGUCUCCCCUUUCAACUGGGAGCUGCUUUAAGACUGGUUUUUAUCCUUGAAUAUUUAGUAUAAACAGUGAGCAACUGAGAAUGAAAGACAGAGAGAUUGUUAGAAAGGUUAUUUACCCCAUAACUUGCAGGAGAACAUUCUGUUUCACAAAUUCUCAGAAAAAAAUAAAAGAUACCAAACUGUAAGCUCUCAAUAAAAAAUUUGCUUAUUAAUUUAACAUAAGAGAAGUAGAUGUGGCUAUAAUAUCAGUUAGCAGUAUAUAUUUAAAAUGAAAAAUGUUGAAAAAUAGGAGUCCGAAACAAGAAAUUUAAAACAUAAAUAUAAUUGGUUAUAUAUUGAUAAUUGGUGAAGCUGAUUGACAUGUAUGUCAAUUACCAUACCCUUCUUUCUACUUGUGCAUAUGUUGAAAACAAUUC